AGUUUGUGUUUUCCUAUCUAUUCUCAACAUCUCUCUUCUCCUAAAGGCAGAACAGCAGUAGAUGGAAGGAACUUCCUGGAGGGGUGUCUUAUCUCUCACAAAGGACUGGAGACUCCUGCACAAGAGGGGCCUCAACUGCUUUUGUUUCACAACGUCCCCAUCCUUCCACAAAGACUCAAUGAUGGACUGACUAAAAAGCAUUCGGACCCAGGACACUUCUAUCUCUCCAGUACCCUCCUCCCAGAAGAGAGGAAGUACACAAGGUCCUUACUAGGGUUUUCUGCCCUCAUCUGCAAUCAUGUUGAUGUUCAUGAACUCCAGACAUUCUUUAGUAUAAAAGAAAUUGAGUGCCCAGGCAGAAGUGGGGGGGGGGGGGCUGAUGAGUCCUUUCCUCUCCUCCCCAUUACAGUUUUCACACCUGGAAGAAGGAUUCAGGCUGAAGUAAUAACUUCAAGGUGGGGGUUGGUUGGGGGAGGAGGGGGCACACACAUUUAGGGCAGCUGGGAUUCCUCUCACUAGCUGCAGUCCAGUUGCUCCCAGAGGUGGAGCCCCCAAAGCUUAUGUCCCUCCGAGGGUGUCCAGGCUCCAGUCCCCCUUCUCUCCUUUUCACUGUGGCCUCCCAAGCAUCUUUGCGCUGCCCCCAUGACCCCCAGCCGGCUUCACGCCUGGCUGCCUGGAAUCUGUAGCCGCCCUUGUUUUCUGGCCCAGGAAGGGGAUUUAAUGCUGGUGAGAGAUGGCAGGUUGACAGGCGCAGAGAUUAAAGCCCGAGGCUCUGGCCGAGAAGCAGGGUUGGCCUCCACAGAACCCCUGCCCC
rnacentral:lncRNA from 1 species